CCAUGACAUAAAACAAACCAUCAUGGAUGGGGUGGAGCAAAGAAGAACACCACAACAUCAACUAAGCACUCACAAACAUCAAAAUGACAAAAACUACACAAUCUGCCAUAAACUGCAUCAUAGCACUUUGUGGGCUACAUGCAAAGCCACUACAGCCACUCAACUAUGACAAAUAAUAUAUGUGGCUGUAGCUAGCCAAGAACACUACAAGCACAAGCAAGAAUCACACAAAAAGGAAUUAAACACAGAAAUUUACAAGGCUGCAAACUUGCCCAAAAACAUCAGUUUUUAGGGACUUCGUGAAAAUUCCAGAUUCUCACUUUCUGUCUAUGCUCUGAAGCAUUUUGACAGAAGCAAAAACAAUACCGUCAGGGCUGCAAAUGAAAUGAAAUUUUAUAGGCAGCUAGGCAACCAUAUCAGGUCCAACUUUCUAGUGGAAAGCUAAGGCUAGAUCACAACACAGUGACCAGCACAACCUCAUCAACAGGAGAAGAAAAUGUAAACAGAUUCUCACACUUUCACUAAUCUGGAAUUUCAGCCACAUGCCUAAUUUGAGCGGGCAUAACUUGCAGAUAUGGAAUCCUAAUCAUGAGAUGAGACCAACAAGAGGUAGAGGGGGCACCCUCUACUAGCACAACC
rnacentral:lncRNA from 1 species